rnacentral:rRNA from 1 species
ACGGCCAUACCACAUUGAAAACACCGGUUCUCGUCCAAUCACCGAAGUUAAGCAAUGUCAGGCCCGGUCAGUACUUGGGAGGGUGACCACCUGGGAACACCGGGUGCUGUAGAUU